rnacentral:rRNA from 1 species
AACGCGAAGAACCUUACCUGGGCUUGACAUGCCAGGAUUAUCCCCAUGAAAGUGGGGUAGGCCCUUCGGGGUACAACUGGUACAGGUGCUGCAUGGCUGUCGUCAGCUCGUGUCGUGAGAUGUCGGGUUAAGUCCCUUAACGAGCGAAACCUUUGCCCUUAGUUACCAGCGGGUUAUGCCGGGGACUCUAAGGGGACUGCCGGUGUCAAACCGGAGGAAGGUGGAGAUGACGUCAAGUCCUCAUGGCCUUUAUGCCCAGGGCCACACACGUGCUACAAUGGGGUGCACAAAGCGAACCGAGAGCGCAAGCUGGUGGAAAUCGCAUAAAUCACCCCCCAGUUCAGAUUGGAGGCUGCAACUCGCCUCCAUGAAGAUGGAAUCGCUAGUAAUCGCGGAUCAGCUACGCCGCGGUGAAUGUGUUCCCGGGCCUUGUACACACCGGUAUCUC